UAGGGAAUCUUCCGCAAUGGACGAAAGUCUGACGGAGCAACGCCGCGUGAGCGAAGAAGGCCUUCGGGUCGUAAAGCUCUGUUGUUAGGGAAGAACAAGUAUGAGAGUAACUGCUCGUACCUUGACGGUACCUAACCAGAAAGCCACGGCUAACUACGUGCCAGCAGCCGCGGUAAUACGUAGGUGGCAAGCGUUGUCCGGAAUUAUUGGGCGUAAAGCGCGCGCAGGCGGUCCUUUAAGUCUGAUGUGAAAGCCCACGGCUCAACCGUGGAGGGUCAUUGGAAACUGGGGGACUUGAGUGCAGAAGAGGAGAGUGGAAUUCCACGUGUAGCGGUGAAAUGCGUAGAGAUGUGGAGGAACACCAGUGGCGAAGGCGACUCUCUGGUCUGUAACUGACGCUGAGGCGCGAAAGCGUGGGGAGCAAACAGGAUUAGAUACCCUGGUAGUCCACGCCGUAAACGAUGAGUGCUAAGUGUUAGAGGGUUUCCGCCCUUUAG
rnacentral:rRNA from 1 species